rnacentral:rRNA from 1 species
AGAGUUUCUUUCUGGCUCAGGAUGAACGCUGGCGGCGUGCUUAACACAUGCAAGUCGAACGGAGCGCCGGACACGGACUAUUUCGGUAGGAAGCGUGCGGAGGCUUAGUGGCGGACGGGUGAGUAACGCGUGGAUAACCUGCCGCAUACCGGGGGAUAACAGCUGGAAACAGCUGCUAAUACCGCAUAUGCCCGCAGUGCUGCAUGGCACAGCGGGGAAAACUCCGGUGGUAUGCGAUGGGUCCGCGUCUGAUUAGGCAGUUGGCGGGGUAACGGCCCACCAAACCGACGAUCAGUAGCCGGCCUGAGAGGGCGGACGGCCACACUGGGACUGAGACACGGACCAAACUCCUACGGGAGGCAGCAGUGAGGAAUAUUGGUCAAUGGACGCAAGUCUGAACCAGCCAUGCCGCGUGCAGGAUGACGGCUCUAUGAGUUGUAAACUGCUUUUGUACGAGGGUAAACUCGGGUACGCGUACCCGACUGAAAGUAUCGUACGAAUAAGGAUCGGCUAACUCCGUGCCAGCAGCCGCGGUAAUACGGAGGAUUCAAGCGUUAUCCGGAUUUAUUGGGUUUAAAGGGUGCGUAGGCGGUCGGAUAAGUUAGAGGUGAAAUCCCGAGGCUCAACUUCGGAAUUGCCUCUGAUACUGUUCGGCUAGAGAGUAGUUGCGGUAGGCGGAAUGUAUGGUGUAGCGGUGAAAUGCUUAGAGAUCAUACAGAACACCGAUUGCGAAGGCAGCUUACCAAGCUACAUCUGACGUUGAGGCACGAAAGCGUGGGGAGCAAACAGGAUUAGAUACCCUGGUAGUCCACGCAGUAAACGAUGAUAACUCGUUGUCGGCGAUACAAUGUCGGUGACUAAGCGAAAGCGAUAAGUUAUCCACCUGGGGAGUACGUUCGCAAGAAUGAAACUCAAAGGAAUUGACGGGGGCCCGCACAAGCGGAGGAACAUGUGGUUUAAUUCGAUGAUACGCGAGGAACCUUACCCGGGCUUGAAAGUUAGUGACGGAUCUGGAAACAGGUCUUCCCUUCGGGGCACGAAACUAGGUGCUGCAUGGUUGUCGUCAGCUCGUGCCGCGAGGUGUCGGGUUAAGUCCCAUAACGAGCGCAACCCCUACCGUUAGUUGCCAUCAGGUCAAGCUGGGCACUCUGGCGGGACUGCCGGUGUAAGCCGAGAGGAAGGUGGGGAUGACGUCAAAUCAGCACGGCCCUUACGUCCGGGGCUACACACGUGUUACAAUGGCAGGUACAGAGGGCAGCUACCCAGCGAUGGGAUGCGAAUCUCGAAAGCCUGUCUCAGUUCGGAUUGGAGGCUGAAACCCGCCUCCAUGAAGUUGGAUUCGCUAGUAAUCGCGCAUCAGCCAUGGCGCGGUGAAUACGUUCCCGGGCCUUGCACUCACCGCCCGUCAAG